rnacentral:rRNA from 1 species
CCUACGGGAGGCAGCAGUGAGGAAUAUUGGUCAAUGGGCGCGAGCCUGAACCAGCCAAGCAGCGUGAAGGAUGACUGCCCUACGGAUUGUAAACCUCUUUUAUAAGGGAACAAAGUGAGGCACGCGUCCCUUUAUGUGUGUACUUGAUGAAUAAGGAUCGGCUAACUCCGUGCCAGCAGCCGCGGUAAUACGGAGGAUGCAAGCGUUUUCCGGCUUUAUUGGGUUUAAAGGGUGCGGAGGCUGUGUGUUAAGUCAGCGGUGAAAUGCCGCGGGGCAACGGGGUGAAGCGCCGGUGAUACUGCCAGUCUGGAGUGCGGAAGAGGUAGGAGGAAUGUGUGGUGUAGCGGUGAAAUGCAUAGAUAUC